rnacentral:rRNA from 1 species
GAAAGCAAGGGGAGCGAAGAGGAUUAGUUACCCUCGUAGUCCCGGCUGUAAACGGUGUGCACUUGGUGUGGGGGGCUUUAUCCCCUUCCGUGCCGGAGCUAACGCGUUAAGUGCACCGCCUGGGGAGUGCGGUCGCAAGAUUAAAACUCAAAGAAAUUGACGGGGCCCCGCACAAGCGGUGGAGCAUGUGGCUUAAUUCGAUGCAACGCGAAGAACCUUACCUGGACUUGACAUGCCCGUCGUACUUUCCUUAAAGGGAGAGGUCCGCUCGCUGGACGGUGCACAGGUGCUGCAUGGCUGUCGUCAGCUCGUGCCGUGAGGUGUUGGGUUAAGUCCCGCAACGAGCGCAACCCUUGUCGUUAGUUGACAUCAGGGAGUGAUCCGGCUGGGCACUCUAACCAGACUGCCCGCGAUAAGCGGGAGGAAGGUGGGGAAGACGUCAAGUCAGUAUGGUCCUUAUGUCCAGGGCUGCACACGUGCUACAAUGGCCGGUAAAAUGGG